rnacentral:lncRNA from 1 species
GAAAUUCUGUACUGAAUACGUGUUUAAGUGCUGAGCAGGAAUCUGGCUACUCCAUGUUACUCUUGCAGACAAACUAGCUCCCAAUCCAGAAUUGUUGAAUUCCCCAUAAUAAAGUGUUUUUAAUGCAAAGUCACCACUCCAUGGCAGCCACCCUUGUGGUGUGACAAGAGGCUCCAAGAAGCACCGGAUAAAAACAGUCCUUGAAAACUCCUUCCAUGGCCUCCCCAAGAAGUUCUUGUGUACUUUAGGGUUGCUGUAGUACAACUUCAUGUAGUCGUCGGUGCCAUUGACCACACAAUUUUGGAAAACAAAGCCUGUGGUUUGGGCAGGGUCUGUUCUACCAUGUGCUGUCACAGCGUUGUUCUCCCCUUUUUCUGGUUUGAGUUGCCUGGGGCGGAUUAGGAUGAGGCAGUCUUGGAAGAUUGAAGCGGAGUUGCCAAAGAUGAAGUCCACGUUGCCUUGGAUGUUGCAUGAUUUGUAGAACUGGCGAAGGGAGUGAGCGUAGAGAGUGUCUUGAUUGCCUAAGAAUUCACAGUUCUCAAUCACUGAUAAAUCGCUACCUGAUCUGAAAGCUACAGCUUGGUGGGCAUCAGGACCGGCUGUGUUUUGGAAUGUGAGACCACUGGCCAUGAACCCAUCACCACUCACACCUGUGCCAUGAUCAAACACCAUUCGAUUGAUCAAUAGGACCAACAACGCCUUAGGAGUUAGGAGCAAGGAAACAAAGAAAACAGCGUGCAUGUUGGCUCACGUGUCAGCACCAUAGUGUGGGUCCUACUCGUGAAUUCCCAUACGUAAGUUUCAAACCAACUAACGUCCUAUCAUUCAGCACAAUUUUAAUAAUAACUAAAAUAACCUAUUACUAUGAAUAAUAAAUAAAUAUCAUACGCUUUCUGCGACAUAUAGUGUUCCUACUUCUACAUUUGAUUACUGCCUACCCUACGUGGCUAGAUGCCAUUGGCUAAAAUCAGAAAAGACCAUCGGAAAUUCAAGUAGUCGAUUAAUAUCACCCAAACAACUUACGACUUACCGACAGUGGCUGUGUUGUAGGUGGAAAUUCCAGGCUGGCCCACAUUCAACGAUCCCGUAAUUACCGUUUUACCCAUCCCAUCUCCCAAAAACACCACGUUCUUUUUUUCCAACGGCACCCGAACCGUCUCCUCAUAGACCCCUUCUCGAAUCCGAAUCACGAACUUCCGGUCACCGGCGUUAGCCGGCGCGGCGUCCACCGCUUCCUGCACCGUCUUGUAGCACCCGUUUCCGUCCUUGCACACGGUGGCGUCCGGCGGAAGACCAGUCGGAACUCCACCUUUGACCCCCAAUCCGGAUUCUUCGCCCAACCCGGAAGGCUCCCAGAAGCCGUCUCGCUCCGUUUUGGGGGGCCUCCAGGACCCGAUGUCGUUCCCGAAAAUAUCGUAAGAUGCCAUCAUGCUUAGACCGUUGCUGCUCAGCCCAAGAAGGGAGUCUAAAAACGACAUCGUUUUGUUCACCUGUUGAGUGUCGUUGGCGUACUUCAAAGCCGACCAGCAAUCGUACUGGUAUAGUAGAGCCGCGCUCACCCAGGCCCUCGCGUCCUUGAUCUUCCCAUGUGGCAGAGCCUCCAUCGUCGAUGAGAUCCGGUACUCGGAGUUAUGCAACACCUCCAGGCAGUUCUUCGCCGCCGUCGUCCGAUUCAGGUUCCGUGCGGAUGCGUCCAGGAUGUCCUUUACCAUGGACUGCGCCGUCUUGAGAUUCUCCAAGGAGACCCAUAAGGCUGAUUGGAUGACAUCGAUGGGCUUGGGAUCGGGAGGGACCCGAUCGGAAGCGAUCAGAGAGGCCUCGCAGGUUUCUGGGUAACGCGUAGCGGCGCAGGCCUGGUGGAUCUGGGGAGGAACAGAGGCGGUGGAGGGCUGGGGGGUGAUGGGUUGGGGGAAAUGCGGGAGGGAGUGGCGAGGGCUAUGGUGGUGAGAGGCGGAGGAGAGGGAGAAGAAGAGGAAGAGGGAGAGAAGAGCGAGAAGGAAGAGAGAAGCCAUGGAGAGGAUAAGGAAUUUAGAGAAGGAGUGGGGCUUUAUAGGCUUUCUGGAGUGCAUGAUGAUAGUGGAAAUGGGGUUUGGAUUGUAGCGAAUAUUAGAGAAGAAGAGACUAGGAGGAAUGGAAGUCACGGGUGGCUUCUCACGGGUGUGAAGAUAGAAAUCGGUGAUUCUGUUAUUGGCAGCAUUGACUAGGCGUGGAAUGUAAAGCAGAUAAAACCAAGCCACUUACCACUAGGUCUGUAUUUUGGGUUGUGCCUCAUACCUGCACCACCUACCUCCCUCCCUCCCUCCCUCCCUCCCUCCCUCCCUCUCCCUGACUCAGAACUCACAAAGGGAAAGACCCAACAAUUAGGGGACAGAGGCUGUUUUCCAGAGAACCAUAAACCCGCCCUUUUAAUUGACUUUGUCAAUGCUUUCCCAUCUUUUCUCCUUUCAUCGCUUUCCAACUUAAUGCGCGUAUUUUGGUCAUUUUCAGGUAAAUCAGAGGCUCGUUCGAUCAUACUGUAACCACCAUAUGGAAGGCUUGGAGUCUACGCUACUUGGAUUUUAAUCUGAGUGAGUGAAGGCAAAAUGAAUAUGAGAAGAGAGCAAUUAAAAUUAAGAUAAUGCAAGUUGCAGCUAAUGUAAUUUGUCUAGGAAUUGGAAUGAAAUUGGCCGGUAUAGUUUGGAACAAGAACUAAACCACUACGGAAUCUUGGAUAUCUGAAGUUGUAGAGACAAUCAAGUGAGUCGGUGGCAUACAGUGGAAAGCACACUAAGGUAAGUGAUAUUGUAUUUAAUUGUAAUAUAAAUAAAAUAGUGUGAUUUGCUAUAUGCGUUAUAAGUAUUUUUUUUUUUUAAAAAAAAGAACACCAGCCUACUAGACUUACAACUCACUAGAAUAGAUGAAGAGAUAUGUUUGGUUACUAGGAAAAUAUAAGCAAAAGAAAAUAAAAAUUAAAAAUAAAAUGCCGAGGAAAGUGAAUAUAUAUAUAUAUAUAAAGUUAAUAAAUUAUUUAUUUGUUUUAAAUUUUUUUAUUAUAAGAAUUAAAUAAUUUAAAAACGUAUAAAUUUUUAAUCAGUUUUAAUUAUAUUUGAUUUUUUUUUUUUGCUAUUGUUUUUAUAAGAUCAUAUGAGAAAAUAAUUUUUUAAAUAUUUUUUUAGUACUUUCUAAGAAUCAAUCACGGUGAAUGAGUUUAGAGAGAGAAAUGUUCAUUAUCAGUGGAGUUUCUUGAAUAAUAAAAGUUGCUCCUCAAAACCAAAGUAGGUAUCAAAAGUAAGACCAAGAUAAAUACAGAGUCUUGUUUGUUGGAUUGACUUUUGAAAAAUCAAAAACUCUUUUUCAAACUUGAUAAAACUUUUAUGCUUUUUUGACUAAUUUUGUUGAAAAAUAUAUGCUUUGAAAAAAACUUAAUAUAAAAACCUAGAAAAUAUUGCUUCUUAUAAAAAUUCUAUUUUGAAGUAUUUGAGAAUAUGACCUUUUUUUUCUUUGAAUGUUAAAAAAAAACAAUUGAAGAAAUUAAAGUCUCUUUUGCUUUGGAUUUGGAGUCAUAUUUAGGUGGUAUUUGUUUUUUGAUUGAAUAGAAAAAUCUAAAAUAUUUGAUUUUUUUUAUUCAACUAAAAAUAGUCUGUUGACAUCAUCUAACAUAACUAAAAUAAAUUGGUUAUCAAUAAGUUCAGUUUAAUUAUAUUGAUUGAUAUCAACAAGUUACUUUUAACUGAAUAAAGAAACUAAAAUAUUUUAACUUUUUCUAUUCAGUCAAAAAACAAACGUCAUCUUCCUGUUUUACUUUUUGAUGACUCCAAGGCCAUAUUUUGGAAUUCCUUCUCUAGCCUUUUUGCUAGCACAAUGUUAAAUUGAAGAAGGGAGGUCGAUUAAGCUGACUUUAAUUGUUACGGCAAGUUUAGUGACCCAAGCAAUGAUAGGAGAGUCUUCAUCUUCGAUUUCAACUGCUACUACAAUUCGUAGCAAAUCCAUUGAAUCAACUAAUUAUAGUAAAAUUGAAGGAAAAUAAUUUUUCUUAUGGAAGCAUCAAGUAGGUUGUAGGAUUAAGGGUUAUAAAAGGGAAGGUUUCAUUUUUUGAGACUCGAUUUGAUGAAUUCAACCUUUAAUAUUGCCCCAUCAAAGUCAGGAUCAACUUCUGAUGUCUUGGCUUUUUGCUUGCAUGAGUCUUGGUUUUCUCCUACAACUUGUCAGUUUUGAUACUGUUGAGGAUGUUUGGAGCAUUUUAUUUAUUCGAAUAAAUAAUGUAGCAAUCACUCUUUAGAAUUUGUGUUUUAUUAUGAUAAUUCAAUUUCUUACUGGUUUGAACUAUGACAUAAGAGGCUAGGUCACCCAGCACCAAAAUUUGUUACUAGAGUUUUCUCACAUUAUAAAAUACAAUUUCCCUUGUAAAAGAGAAAACAUGGACAAUGCUAGAACUUGGACUUACCUUGCUUACUUAGGCAUCAAUGCCACUCACACUAGAAGAUGGCUACAUCCCUUAGCUACGGCCGCAUGUAGUAGCUAGUGUGACUUGAUGAUCUAAAGUUGUGGCCACUAUCGCAUUCUUUUCACGACUAAAGGCUUUGUAUGUUUGCGACUAAUCAUAACAGCAACCAUAAGCGUGUAGAAAUAGAAAUGCUAACAGCAUAGUGUUAGACAUGUGCUACGGCCAGUGGAUGGCUGCCACUAUAGGUUGUGAUGUGGACACAGUCACGCUUGAUCAUGACUAUAAGGUCAUUUAUAUAUAUAUGAAUAAAUCAAAGCAAUUACAAAGCAUUCGUUCAUCUGUUUUUACAUUUAUAAUCAAAAUACCCUAUUUAGAGUUGUUACAAAUGAUCGAAUUAGUCAUAAAUGAAUCCCUAUUGAGCUCACAUUGUCAAAAUCAGUUGGUAUUUGUUGGCAAAGAAGCAAGUUUGAGAUUCAUGAAUCAUUCAAACAUCUACAUUGAACAAGAAGAUUCAUGAAAGUGUUGUCAUUAGAGAAAUUCAAAAUUGAUUUAAUAACUUCAUGCUAUUCAUAAAUCAUUAACAUAGUAUCGUGUCUGCGAGUCAAAGUCAUUAGCAAAGUCGCCAUUCCCCUUUGAUAGCGUGGCCGUAAGUUUGUUGAGUGAAAGCGAUUUUUUCAUGACUUUAAGUUUUGGUCACAAUUUAUUGGGAGAAAAGCAUAUACUGAUCAGCUGUAUGAAUGGCCAUUAAAGCAAAAACAUGUUGCUUCAACAGUGACUGUGCCACACAUUCAACCAAACCAUGUAUGGAGACCGUAAUGGCAGGCUACUAAGAAUCGCUACAUCAUAGAUUUCAAAGUAAUGAAGAAAAGUAGAACUUUAUAACAUAAAGUCCAAAUGAUAAAGCAUGCUACAAAUUUUUUCAACUUGAAAAGCGUCCUAAAGGACAUAGAUGUGGAAACGUGACUGCUACAUGAACCAGUGUAUACAUAUCAUACUGUUCAACUUCAGAUAUAAAAAAUAAUUGAGUCAUGGUCAUGGUGUGGGAAUGAAAUGGACUAUAUCCACUCUGUUUAAGCAAGACAAGUAUUAUUCAUUAAAAAAUGCAUGUUAACACUUGGAAGGGAAGUAAAACCCUAAAAGGAAGAAAAGAUAUACGUGGCAGAAACUUUGAAAUUUCUCUCCUCUAUUAAUAGUUUGAGUACAACAUGGACUAAAAGCUUCUAUCUCUGUGAAGGGAUCUAAACCUCCCUCUCAGAUGAAUCUAUUUCUACAAAUGUGGCCGGUGUUACUAAUCAAGAAGUUGUAGGAAUCCACUCAUUACCUUGAAUGAAAUUCUGUACCGAGUACAUGUUUAUGUGCUGAGCAGGAAUCUGGCUACUCCAUGUUACUCUUGCAGACAAAUUAGCUCCCAAUCCAGAAUUGUUGAAUUCCCCAUAAUAAAGUGUUUCUAAUGCAAAGUCACCACUCCAUGGCAGCCACCCUUGUGGUGUCACAAGAGCCUCCAACAAACACUGGAUAAAAACAGUCCUUGAAAACUCCUUCCAUGGCCUCCCCAAGAAGUUCUUGUGUACUUUAGGGUUGCUGUAGUACAACUUCAUGUAGUCGUCGGUGCCAUUGACCACACAAUUUUGGAAAACAAAGCCUGUGGUUUGGGCAGGGUCUGUUCGACUAUGUGCUGUUACAGCGUUGUUCUCCCCG